rnacentral:rRNA from 1 species
UCUUCUCACAUUUAGACAGUACACCCAUUAAAAAUCUAUAUAUUAUGGCGGUUCUAACCUCUUAGAGAAACUCGCUUCAUAAUCGUCAAUACCCGAUAAUUUUGACUUUUUUAAUAAAGCUUAUAUACCGCCGUUUCAGAAUUUACUUCACAACAAAAUCACCCGCUCAACCCGCUUUCAGAAAAAAUCAGGUCAAGGUGUAGCUCAUAAACAAGCACAAGUAAGUUACAUUAAACACAAUUUAAGGAAAAAUUAAUAAAAUUUAAUCAGAAAAAGAAUUUAUAUGUACUAAAUGAUUAAAAAUCAUUAAAGAAUCCCUCAAUUAGAAUGC